AUGCACAGACUUAGUCAUGAAUGCUGGAUUUGGUCACCCAGACCUUCUCUGUGUCUUCAUCCUCAGCACUCAGGGAGCCUUCUUUCUGUCAUGGUGAGCCACCAAGAAGAAGAGGAGGAGGAUAAAGAAACAGGAGAACUUCCAGCUGUAUGUUGCUAUAGUACAGGAUGUGAUGACGUUAUCAGUCAGUCUGCUGUUGCUCAGUGGUCCAUAUACGAGCCUCAGGUCCACUCAGGGAUCCCCAGCAGCACAGGCCUGUGUCAGCAUGACGUGGGUGCUCCUUUGCAGCAAAUAACAGUGGUUGAAGCUGAGCAAGGAGAUGUAUUCCAGCAUUUCAUGGGUUGUCAGUGCUGGGGAGGUCCAGGGAUGGAAACCCAGAGAUGUGUUUAUAGACAGAGGGAACCAGAUGUUUUGGGUCACUGCUCAUCAGGAUCUCCAUUUAUCUACUGUGGAGCUGUGAGGAGGAACGUGAUCGUUGGAGUGGAGGUUGUAGAGGAGGUUGCAGUUGAAGACACUCUGGAAGUAAUAACAGAAGAUAUUUAUGCAGAUGAUCUGCUGGAUCCAGAUACGUCACAAGAAAACCAGCCGUACCCCACAUGA
rnacentral:lncRNA from 1 species